AUUGAACGCUGGCGGCAUGCUUUACACAUGCAAGUCGAACGGUAACAGGCCUUCGGGUGCUGACGAGUGGCGAACGGGUCAGUAAUGCAUCGGAACGUACCCAGAGGUGGGGGAUAACGCAGCGAAAGCUGUGCUAAUACCGCAUGUGAUCUGAGGAUGAAAGCGGGGGACCGAGCAGCAAUGUUUGGCCUCGCGCCUUUGGAGCGGCCGAUGUCGGAUUAGCUAGUUGGUGGGGUAAAGGCCUACCAAGGCGACGAUCCGUAGCUGGUCUGAGAGGACGACCAGCCACACUGGGACUGAGGCACGGCCCAGACUCCUACGGGAGGCAGCAGUGGGGAAUUUUGGACAAUGGGCGCAAGCCUGAUCCAGCAAUGCCGCGUGCGGGAAGAAGGCCUUCGGGUUGUAAACCGCUUUUGGCAGGAACGAAACGGUGUCCGCUAAUACCGGGCGCUAAUGACGGUACCUGCAGAAUAAGCACCGGCUAACUACGUG
rnacentral:rRNA from 1 species